rnacentral:rRNA from 1 species
GUGGGGAAUCUUAGACAAUGGGCGCAAGCCUGAUCUAGCCAUGCCGCGUGAGUGAUGAAGGCCCUAGGGUUGUAAAGCUCUUUCAGCUGGGAAGAUAAUGACGGUACCAGCAGAAGAAGCCCCGGCUAACUCCGUGCCAGCAGCCGCGGUAAUACGGAGGGGGCUAGCGUUGUUCGGAAUUACUGGGCGUAAAGCGCGCGUAGGCGGACUGAAAAGUUGGGGGUGAAAUCCCGGGGCUCAACCUCGGAACUGCCUUCAAAACUAUCAGUCUGGAGUUCGAGAGAGGUGAGUGGAAUUCCGAGUGUAGAGGUGAAAUUCGUAGAUAUUCGGAGGAACACCAGUGGCGAAGGCGGCUCACUGGCUCGAUACUGACGCUGAGGUGCGAAAGCGUGGGGAGCAAACAGGAUUAGAAACCCGAGUAGUCC